CGAUAUAAGAAAAGAGAGAGAGACAGAUUUUUAUUUUAAAUUUUAAUUUUUAAAAUUUAUAAUUUAUAAUUUUAAAUUAUAAAUUUUAAAGUUUAAAUUUUAAAUUUGAUAUUUUUAAAUUUUAAAUUUUAAAUAUGAUAUUUUUAUCUUUCAAAUUUAAAUUUGGUCCUAAAUUUAAAAUCAGAUAUUUAAAAUUAAAAUUUUGAAAAUUAAAAUUUUAAAUUUAAUUUCAAAUUUUAAAAUGUAAAAGUUAAAAUUUUCAAUUUAAAAUUUUCAGUUUAAAAUUUUAAAUUCAAUUAUAUGAGUAAUAUCAUUAUUUUCUAUUUAUAACUACCAACUAUUCCACCUUAUACUCAUAUUUUCAUCCAAAUACAAUUUUUCUAGUUCCAGCUUAUACUCACAUUUUCAUCCAAACAAAAAAAUACCCAUGUUCCUACAAAAACCCAUACUUGUACCUAUCCCCGGUAUAACUAGUUCUUGCUUAUACCCGAACCAAACGAAGCAUAAAUAUCAACCCAAAAAUAGGUAGAAAAUAUCUUA
rnacentral:lncRNA from 1 species